GAUGGGAAACGGGUUAAUAUUCCCGUACUUGGUGUUACUGCGAAGGGGGGACGGAGAAGGCUAUGUUGGCCGGGCGACGGUUGUCCCGGUUUAAGCGUGUAGGUGUGUGUUCCAGGUAAAUCCGGUUCACUUUAACACUGAGGCGUGACGACGAGGCACUACGGUGCUGAAGCAACAAAUGCCCUGCUUCCAGGAAAAGCCUCUAAGCAUCAGGUAACACGAAAUCGUACCCCAAACCGACACAGGUGGUCAGGUAGAGAAUACCAAGGCGCUUGAGAGAACUCGGGUGAAGGAACUAGGCAAAAUGGUGCCGUAACUUCGGGAGAAGGCACGCUGACACGUAGGUGAAGUGAUUUACUCAUGGAGCUGAAGUCAGUCGAAGAUACCAGCUGGCUGCAACUGUUUAUUAAAAACACAGCACUGUGCAAACACGAAAGUGGACGUAUACGGUGUGACGCCUGCCCGGUGCCGGAA
rnacentral:rRNA from 3 species